rnacentral:rRNA from 1 species
UACGGAGGGUGCAAGCGUUAUCCGGAUUUACUGGGUUUAAAGGGUGCGUAGGUGGGUCUGUAAGUCAGUGGUGAAAUCUCCGAGCUUAACUCGGAAACUGCCAUUGAUACUAUAGGUCUUGAAUUAUCUGGAGGUAAGCGGAAUAUGUCAUGUAGCGGUGAAAUGCUUAGAUAUGACAUAGAACACCAAUUGCGAAGGCAGCUUACUACGGAUUGAUUGACACUGAGGCGCGAAAGCGUGGGGAGCAAACAGG